UCCUGGCUCAGAUUGAACGCUGGCGGCAGGCCUAACACAUGCAAGUCGAGCGGUAGCACAGAGAGCUUGCUCUCGGGUGACGAGCGGCGGACGGGUGAGUAAUGUCUGGGAAACUGCCUGAUGGAGGGGGAUAACUACUGGAAACGGUAGCUAAUACCGCAUAACGUCGCAAGACCAAAGUGGGGGACCUUCGGGCCUCAUGCCAUCAGAUGUGCCCAGAUGGGAUUAGCUAGUAGGUGGGGUAACGGCUCACCUAGGCGACGAUCCCUAGCUGGUCUGAGAGGAUGACCAGCCACACUGGAACUGAGACACGGUCCAGACUCCUACGGGAGGCAGCAGUGGGGAAUAUUGCACAAUGGGCGCAAGCCUGAUGCAGCCAUGCCGCGUGUGUGAAGAAGGCCUUCGGGUUGUAAAGCACUUUCAGCGGGGAGAAGGCGGUGAGGUUAAUAACCUCAUCGAUGACGUUACCCGCAGAA
rnacentral:rRNA from 1 species